rnacentral:rRNA from 1 species
GAUGAACGCUGGCGGCGUGCCUAAUACAUGCAAGUCGAACGCAUAGCGAAAGGUGCUUGCACCUUUCACGUGAGUGGCGAACGGGUGAGUAACACGUGGACAACCUGCCUCAAGGCUGGGGAUAACAUUUGGUAACAGAUGCUAAUACCGAAUAAAACUUAGUGUCGCAUGACACAAAGUUAAAAGGCGCUUCGGCGUCACCUAGAGAUGGAUCCGCGGUGCAUUAGUUAGUUGGUGGGGUAAAGGCCUACCAAGACAAUGAUGCAUAGCCGAGUUGAGAGACUGAUCGGCCACAUUGGGACUGAGACACGGCCCAAACUCCUACGGGAGGCUGCAGUAGGGAAUCUUCCACAAUGGGCGAAAGCCUGAUGGAGCAACGCCGCGUGUGUGAUGAAGGCGUUCGGGUCGUAAAGCACUGUUGUAUGGGAAGAACAGCUAGAAUAGGAAAUGAUUUUAGUUUGACGGUACCAUACCAGAAAGGGACGGCUAAAUACGUG